AUGGACUGGACCUGGAGAAUUCUCUUCCUGGUGGCAGUGACUGCAGCCUCUGGAUUCACCUUUAGUGACUACUGGAUGAGCUGGGUCCGCCAGGCUCCAGGGAAGGGCUUGGAAUGGAUUUCAGACAUUAGUGGUAGUGGUGGUACUAAAAACUAUGCCGACUCUGUGAAGGGUCGAUUCACCAUCUUCAGAGACAACAGCAAGGACACGCUCUCUCUGCAAAUGAGCCGCCUGAGAAAGGAGGGCAUGGCCCUAUACGAGAGACACAGUGAGCCUGUGCGAGAGACACAGUGA